AACAGGAUUAGAUACCCUGGUAGUCCACGCCCUAAACGAUGUCUACUAGUUGUCGGGUCUUAAUUGACUUGGUAACGCAGCUAACGCGUGAAGUAGACCGCCUGGGGAGUACGGUCGCAAGAUUAAAACUCAAAGGAAUUGACGGGGACCCGCACAAGCGGUGGAUGAUGUGGAUUAAUUCGAUGCAACGCGAAAAACCUUACCUACCCUUGACAUGUACAGAAUCCCGAAGAGAUUUGGGAGUGUUCGAAAGAAAACUGUAACACAGGUGCUGCAUGGCUGUCGUCAGCUCGUGUCGUGAGAUGUUGGGUUAAGUCCCGCAACGAGCGCAACCCUUGUCAUUAGUUGCUACGAAAGGGCACUCUAAUGAGGCUGCCGGUGACAAACCGGAGGAAGGUGGGGAUGACGUCAAGUCCUCAUGGCCCUUAUGGGUAGGGCUUCACACGUCAUACAAUGGUACAUACAGAGGGCCGCCAACCCGCGAGGGGGAGCUAAUCCCAGAAAGUGUAUCGUAGUCCGGAUUGUAGUCUGCAACUCGACUACAUGAGGUUGGAAUCGCUAGUAAUCGCGGAUCAGCAUGUCGCGGUGAAUACGUUCCCGGGUCUUGUACACACCGCCCGUCACACCAUGGGAGCGGGUUUUACCAGAAGUAGGUAGCCUAACCGUAAGGAGGGCGCUUACCACGGUAGGAUUCGUGACUGGGGUGAAGUCGUAACAAGGUAACCGUA
rnacentral:rRNA from 1 species